rnacentral:rRNA from 2 species
GGGUUGUGAGGUUAAGCGACUAAGCGUACACGGUGGAUGCCCUGGCAGUCAGAGGCGAUGAAGGGCGUGCUAAUCUGCGAUAAGCGCCGGUAAGGUGAUAUGAACCGUUAUAACCGGCGAUACCCGAAUGGGGAAACCCAGUGUGACUCGUCACACUAUCAUUAACUGAAUCCAUAGGUUAAUGAGGCGAACCGGGGGAACUGAAACAUCUAAGUACCCCGAGGAAAAGAAAUCAACCGAGAUUCCCCCAGUAGCGGCGAGCGAACGGGGAGGAGCCCAGAGCCUGAAUCAGCAUGUGUGUUAGUGGAAGCGUCUGGAAAGGCGCGCGAUACAGGGUGACAGCCCCGUACACAAAAGCGCAUGUGCUGUGAGCUCGAUGAGUAGGGCGGGACACGUGGUAUCCUGUCUGAAUAUGGGGGGACCAUCCUCCAAGGCUAAAUACUCCUGACUGACCGAUAGUGAACCAGUACCGUGAGGGAAAGGCGAAAAGAACCCCGGCGAGGGGAGUGAAAAAGAACCUGAAACCGUGUACGUACAAGCAGUGGGAGCACAGGUUUACCUGUGUGACUGCGUACCUUUUGUAUAAUGGGUCAGCGACUUAUAUUCUGUAGCAAGGUUAACCGAAUAGGGGAGCCGGAGGGAAACCGAGUCUUAAUUGGGCGUUAAGUUGCAGGGUAUAGACCCGAAACCCGGUGAUCUAGCCAUGGGCAGGUUGAAGGUUGGGUAACACUAACUGGAGGACCGAACCGACUAAUGUUGAAAAAUUAGCGGAUGACCUGUGGCUGGGGGUGAAAGGCCAAUCAAACCGGGAGAUAGCUGGUUCUCCCCGAAAGCUAUUUAGGUAGCGCCUCGUGAAUUCAUCUCCGGGGGUAGAGCACUGUUUCGGCUAGGGGGCCAUCCCGGCUUACCAACCCGAUGCAAACUGCGAAUACCGGAGAAUGUUAUCACGGGAGACACACGGCGGGUGCUAACGUCCGUCGUGAAGAGGGAAACAACCCAGACCGCCAGCUAAGGUCCCAAAGUCAUGGUUAAGUGGGAAACGAUGUGGGAAGGCCCAGACAGCCAGGAUGUUGGCUUAGAAGCAGCCAUCAUUUAAAGAAAGCGUAAUAGCUCACUGGUCGAGUCGGCCUGCGCGGAAGAUGUAACGGGGCUAAACCAUGCACCGAAGCUGCGGCAGCGACGCUUAUGCGUUGUUGGGUAGGGGAGCGUUCUGUAAGCCUGUGAAGGUGGCCUGUGAGGGUUGCUGGAGGUAUCAGAAGUGCGAAUGCUGACAUAAGUAACGAUAAAGCGGGUGAAAAGCCCGCUCGCCGGAAGACCAAGGGUUCCUGUCCAACGUUAAUCGGGGCAGGGUGAGUCGACCCCUAAGGCGAGGCCGAAAGGCGUAGUCGAUGGGAAACGGGUUAAUAUUCCCGUACUUGGUGUUACUGCGAAGGGGGGACGGAGAAGGCUAUGUUGGCCGGGCGACGGUUGUCCCGGUUUAAGCGUGUAGGUGUGUGUUCCAGGUAAAUCCGGUUCACUUUAACACUGAGGCGUGAUGACGAGGCACUACGGUGCUGAAGUAACAAAUGCCCUGCUUCCAGGAAAAGCCUCUAAGCAUCAGGUAACAUCAAAUCGUACCCCAAACCGACACAGGUGGUCAGGUAGAGAAUACCAAGGCGCUUGAGAGAACUCGGGUGAAGGAACUAGGCAAAAUGGUGCCGUAACUUCGGGAGAAGGCACGCUGACACGUAGGUGAAGUGAUUUACUCAUGGAGCUGAAGUCAGUCGAAGAUACCAGCUGGCUGCAACUGUUUAUUAAAAACACAGCACUGUGCAAACACGAAAGUGGACGUAUACGGUGUGACGCCUGCCCGGUGCCGGAAGGUUAAUUGAUGGGGUCAGCGCAAGCGAAGCUCCUGAUCGAAGCCCCGGUAAACGGCGGCCGUAACUAUAACGGUCCUAAGGUAGCGAAAUUCCUUGUCGGGUAAGUUCCGACCUGCACGAAUGGCGUAAUGAUGGCCAGGCUGUCUCCACCCGAGACUCAGUGAAAUUGAACUCGCUGUGAAGAUGCAGUGUACCCGCGGCAAGACGGAAAGACCCCGUGAACCUUUACUAUAGCUUGACACUGAACAUUGAGCCUUGAUGUGUAGGAUAGGUGGGAGGCUUUGAAGUGUGGACGCCAGUCUGCAUGGAGCCGACCUUGAAAUACCACCCUUUAAUGUUUGAUGUUCUAACGUGGACCCGUUACCCGGGUUGCGGACAGUGUCUGGUGGGUAGUUUGACUGGGGCGGUCUCCUCCUAAAGAGUAACGGAGGAGCACGAAGGUUGGCUAAUCCUGGUCGGACAUCAGGAGGUUAGUGCAAUGGCAUAAGCCAGCUUGACUGCGAGCGUGACGGCGCGAGCAGGUGCGAAAGCAGGUCAUAGUGAUCCGGUGGUUCUGAAUGGAAGGGCCAUCGCUCAACGGAUAAAAGGUACUCCGGGGAUAACAGGCUGAUACCGCCCAAGAGUUCAUAUCGACGGCGGUGUUUGGCACCUCGAUGUCGGCUCAUCACAUCCUGGGGCUGAAGUAGGUCCCAAGGGUAUGGCUGUUCGCCAUUUAAAGUGGUACGCGAGCUGGGUUUAGAACGUCGUGAGACAGUUCGGUCCCUAUCUGCCGUGGGCGCUGGAGAACUGAGGGGGGCUGCUCCUAGUACGAGAGGACCGGAGUGGACGCAUCACUGGUGUUCGGGUUGUCAUGCCAAUGGCACUGCCCGGUAGCUAAAUGCGGAAGAGAUAAGUGCUGAAAGCAUCUAAGCACGAAACUUGCCCCGAGAUGAGUUCUCCCUGAGACUUAAAGUCUCCUGAAGGAACGUUGAAGACGACGACGUUGAUAGGCCGGGUGUGUAAGCGCAGCGAUGCGUUGAGCUAACCGGUACUAAUGAACCGUGAGGCUUAACCCUACAACGCCGAAG